GAUGAACGCUGGCGGCGUGCCUAACACAUGCAAGUCGAGCGAAGAUGUCUUCGGACAUCUUAGCGGCGGACGGGUGAGUAACACGUGGGUAACCUGCCUCGUACAGGGGGAUAGCCUUCCGAAAGGAAGAUUAAUACCGCAUAAAAAGUAUCUUUCGCAUGAAAGAAACUUUAAAGGAGCAAUCCGGUAUGAGAUGGACCCGCGGCGCAUUAGCUAGUUGGUGAGGUAACGGCUCACCAAGGCGACGAUGCGUAGCCGACCUGAGAGGGUGAUCGGCCACAUUGGAACUGAGAGACGGUCCAGACUCCUACGGGAGGCAGCAGUGGGGAAUAUUGCACAAUGGAGGAAACUCUGAUGCAGCAACGCCGCGUGAGUGAAGAAGGCCUUCGGGUUGUAAAGCUCUGUCUUCUGGGACGAUAAUGACGGUACCAGAGGAGGAAGCCACGGCUAACUACGUGCCAGCCGCCGCGGUAAUAC
rnacentral:rRNA from 1 species